rnacentral:rRNA from 1 species
AUUGAACGCUGGCGGCAUGCCUUACACAUGCAAGUCGAACGGCAGCACGGGAGCAAUCCUGGUGGCGAGUGGCGAACGGGUGAGUAAUAUAUCGGAACGUGCCCAGUCGUGGGGGAUAACGCAGCGAAAGCUGUGCUAAUACCGCAUACGAUCUAAGGAUGAAAGCGGGGGAUCGCAAGACCUCGCGCGAUUGGAGCGGCCGAUAUCAGAUUAGCUAGUUGGUGGGGUAAAGGCCCACCAAGGCGACGAUCUGUAGCUGGUCUGAGAGGACGACGAGCCACAGUGGAACUGAGACACGGUCCAGACUCCUACGGGAGGCAGCAGUGGGGAAUUUUGGCCAAUGGGCGCAAGCCUGAUCCAGCAAUGCCGCGUGCAGGAUGAAGGCCUUCGGGUUGUAAACUGCUUUUGUACGGAACGAAACGGCCCUUUCUAAUACAAGGGGCUAAUGACGGUACCGUAAGAAUAAGCACCGGCUAACUACGUGCCAGCCGCCGCCGUAAGAC